rnacentral:lncRNA from 1 species
CUCCAGCAAGCCUUUGUUCAACGCUUCGUGUUAGGACGCUUCCAGUUUAUUGCUCCAAGCUUUGUCACUUUCUUAAGGUAUUUUACUUUUAUACCUUACUCUUUUUCGCCAAUUUGGUCUGUCUUGAGUAGGAACCCUAGGUUUUUGAUUAGGUUUAAAAAAGAUGGUUAUUUUGAGGGAGUUAGAUGACAAUGAGGGGAGGGUUCCUAUUUCUUCUUCUAGUUAUCUCGAAUGGGCGCAACAAGUUCGCGCCCACUAUACU